UCCCUCUCAGGGUGGCACCUGGAGAGUUUCCAGUACUUUACCAGCCUCGACUACGGGAGGGAGAGUCAAGCAGAGGCCUGUCCGUUCCAUUCCUAGCCUGGCCGGGGGCUAGCGAGUGGAAGGCCGUCUGCUACGAGU